GGUCCCGUGGUCUAGCGGUUAGGACGUCGCCCUUUCAAGGCGGAGAUACGAGUUCGAUUCUCGUCGGGACUACCA
rnacentral:tRNA from 1 species